CAUUGCGGCAGGUAAGUAUUUAACCCUUUGAAAGGGACGCGCUUGUCCUUUCCUUCAGAGCGGAUUGCGGAUCCCUGGGUCUAAAUCUUGUGAUCUGUUUUCCAAGGGAGGGGAAACCCUAAGCCUCAUCUUCCCAAUGGAUACCUCUCUGAUCAAGAGCCAUUGGUGCACCUCCUGCCUUGGCAUGGUGUACAUUGACAAGCAAACAUCCAUUUUGGUGAAGACUAAUGAGGGACCUAUCGUUGCUUCUGGGUGCUUCUCCAUUGACUUAGAAGAACUUGGCACCCAAUAGCCAGAUUAGGAAGAUGUUUCCAUGGCUUUGAAGUUUUCAUUCAGAAUGCAAGAAACACUCUUCCGCUUCUUUGGAGGCUUCCAGAAGAAAUUAAUGAUGGUGAGCUUGGACUUGAAGCAUGAUCCUACAUGAGAAGGGAUAACUGCAGAAGCCUUGAAGCUAUGCAGAAGAGAACAUACAUUUCAAUGCAAAGCAGUACCCUACUGCGUGUCCAGUCGAUCCAUAUAUUUGUUGCUGCACUAAAACAUCCAAUAUGACUUCAGUAUCUUUAGCAGAUGAUAUAUGCGGUCAUUGAAGAUGGUUGUGGGAAGAAUUAAUGAGAGAAGAGGUUAUACUUAUGGAAGCUAAACCCAAGUCGCCGACAUUAGGCUUUCAAUGUCCUGUUUGGGAUUUCUUUGAGGAUUUUCGUAUUUAUAUAUUUUUAGUUCAAGAUGGUCUUCAGUUUUCAAGACGUAAAUCUAAUAAACUUUGUUAAAAAAAACAUUUGGCAUUAUGGA